rnacentral:lncRNA from 1 species
GUCAACAUCUGUCUCAAAAGGAGCUGAGAGGCUGAGGAUGAAAUGCUUGUGUUGUUUAUCUGCAUCUCACUUAGGCUGAAAGUAUAUUGCAGUGCACAGUGCUGGUGCAUUUGCACAUCAGCCAGUGAAAUCCAUGUGAGUAGAAAAUGUGCAUUUUCUCAGUCUGGAUAUUGGCAGAGGGAUCAUCUAUCACCUGCCUUUCCUGGCUAGCAUGGGCCUGCAUUUAAAUUCCUGAAGAAAGGCUGUGCUGGUGUUUCCACAUGGCUGAAGCACGUACAAAAAUGAAUAACUCGGCUUGAAAUGCUAUUUCCCAAACUCCAGUUUUGCCUCUUGCUUGCCAUUGCCUAUGUGCUCCAAGUGCUCCAAGGCAUUCAGUUUGAAGAGCCAGAUGCAAAGAGAAGUGGAGGGAGUACUUUGAAGAAUAAGAACAGGAUCUCUUAUGGCAGCUUUCUUGCAUGGUACUAUUUGCUGCUGCAGAAAUGA